rnacentral:pre_miRNA from 1 species
UUACUACUCCCUCCGUCCGAAAAUACUUGUCCUAGAGAUGAAUGUAUCUAGACUUAUUUUAGUUAUAGAUACAUCCAUUAUAUCCAUUUUUAGGACAAUUAUUUCCGGACGAAGGGAGUAUAAG